rnacentral:lncRNA from 1 species
AGUGUCCCCAGACCAAGCCUGUAAGGGGGAGUGGUUCAUUUAUGAAGUCCCUUCUUGCCUUCCCAGAACCUGUUCACCUGAGACAGCCACUCAGCUUCACAGACCUCCGCUCUCAGCCAGGGAUGUCUCCCAGGUGUUGUCAUGGCAAUGCUGGAGUCAGGAGUCGCUUGCCACAACUCUGCUUUGGCUCUAAAAGGCUGAGAAAAAUCUUUCCCAGCAAUGAGAGCCAGAUUGCAAAGACUGGAUGAAGUCACUAGAGGUGGCGCAGAGUCAGCGGUGUGCUGAGCUAGCUCGUGCCGGCUCAUGAGAGCCUGUCCUUAAAUUUUCAGGAAUUCUGUAAGCAGAUUAUGAAACAGCCAUUUAAAAAAUUGUUAUAUAAAUUUAUAAUUAAUUAUAUUUAUAAACA